GUUUACCUUUGUGUGGAUGGUGUUCAGCGUCAAGGACAGGUGUGUUUACCUUUGUGUGGAUGGUGUUCAGCGUCAAGGACAGGUGUGUUUACCU
rnacentral:pre_miRNA from 1 species